AGAGCGAACGCUGGCGGCAGGCUUAACACAUGCAAGUCGAGCGGGCGUAGCAAUACGUCAGCGGCAGACGGGUGAGUAACGCGUGGGAACGUACCUUUUGGUUCGGAACAACCCAGGGAAACUUGGGCUAAAUACCGGAUAAGCCCUUACGGGGAAAGAUUUAUCGCCGAAAGAUCGGCCCGCGUCUGAUUAGCUAGUUGGUAAGGUAAUGGCUCACCAAGGCGACGAUCAGUAGCUGGUCUGAGAGGAUGAUCAGCCACAUUGGGACUGAGACACGGCCCAAACUCCUACGGGAGGCAGCAGUGGGGAAUAUUGGACAAUGGGCGCAAGCCUGAUCCAGCCAUGCCGCGUGAGUGAUGAAGGCCCUAGGGUUGUAAAGCUCUUUUGUGCGGGUAAGAUAAUGACGGUACCGCAAGAAUAAGCCCGGCUAACUUCGUGCCAGCAGCCGC
rnacentral:rRNA from 1 species